GCAGGUUUGUUCUUUUGCUCUUUGCAAUAAAUCUUGCUGCUGCUUACUCUUUGGGUCCACACUACCUUUAUGAGCUGUAACACUCACCGCAAACGUUUGCAGCUUCACUCCUGAAGCCAGCGAGACCACGAGACCACGAACCCACCAGGAGGAACAAACAACUCCGGACGUGCCACCUUAACGAGCUGUAACAAGGUCUGCGGCUUCACUCCUAAAGUCAGCGAGACCACGAACCCACCGCAAGGAAGAAACUCCGGACACAUCUGAACAUCUGAAGGAAGAAACCCCAGACACACCAUCUUUAAGAACUGUAACACUCAACCGCGAGGGUCCACGGCUUCAUUCUUGAAAGUAGAACCAAAACAUUGGCUCUUCCUGGACCUUCAACCUACCAGCUUUUGAACUGAACCUACACCAUUGGCUCUCCUGGUUCUCAUGCCUUCAAAUUCAGACUGGUGAGUAGCCCCCAUCUUAAGGUCAUCUCGGGGCCCCUCCCUGAAUCACUUCACUAGCACAAACUCAGAUGUGCUCAAAAAGGGCUCAUUAUAAAUAGGCAAAGAUACUCCUAUCAUUAGGAGAUUCUAAGGGUUUUUGGAGCUCUGUCUCAGGAACCAGGGCAAAGACUCAAUAUAUGUCUUAUAUACCACAGGGAAUAUUAACA
rnacentral:lncRNA from 1 species